AUGAUCACAAGACCAGAUGAAAGUAGUGAAGACUCCUUAGAAGUGGAAAAAGCAAAAGCAAAACUCAGACCAUUAAGUGCACUCCUGAAAGAACCUGAAAGUGAAACACUCACAUUUGCACAGCUUCUAGCUAGAUGCAGUUUAACUCUGACAGAGUACAAGAGGUGCUUACACUUAAUGAAGACCUCCAGUACAGUGAUUCUGAAGCGUGAUCCGAAAGACUGCUGGGUAAAUGCAUACAAUCCACAUAUUUUACAAGCUUUUGACAGCAACAUGGACAUAUCAUUUAUUUUGAAUGCUUACUCUGUCAUUAUGUACCUAACAUCCUACAUCACUAAGCAAGAACACGGACUUUCAGAGUACCUUAAAAACGUCAUUGAGAACUCCAGCUCACAUAGCACAAACCAGGCUGACGACAUGAGAGAAGUAAUGCAGGCUUACUCCAAAAAACGAGAGAUUAGCGCCCAAGAAUGUGUCACUCGCCUGUGUGGACUUCCCAUGAAAAAGUCUUCCAGAGGAAUCAUCUUCAUUCCAACCGAUGACAACGCCGUGAAAAUGAGUCGCCCAAUUUCACAACUGGAAGACAUGACAUCUGAAAGCGAAAAUGUCUGGAUGAAGUCCUUAGUAGACAAAUACAAGUGCAGGCCAGAAACAACAGAGUUUGAGAACAUGUGUAUGGCUGACUUUGCUGCCACAUGCAGAUUAGUUUACGGACAACAAAGAAAAGCCAAAAAUGUUUUGCCUCUUCUGAACGGGAUGGGAUUUGUCAAAAAACGCACUAACGACAAACCAGCUAUCAUACGCUUCUUCCGUCCGUCUGAGAAAAAAAAUCCUGAACAGUUUUUCCAGAGCCAGCUGAAACUGUACCUUCCAUACAGAUCUGAAGACGACCUUAAACGACCACACUUCCCUACAUAUCAGUCCUUCUACAACUCCGGCUAUGUGCGCCUGCGUGACUCUGAACACCCUGAGUCCGUUCAAGCCAUUGUGAAACGAAACCAGGACAAAUAUGAGAAAAACAGCAAAAACGUUGAACAAGCCAUUGAGGAUUAUGAACAAAACAGAGGCUCCAUUGACGAAUGGUGCAACUUGGCGCCCGAAUCAGAGCUAGUGAGACUGCAGUGUAACAGAGAACUUCAAAGGGAUGAGCGUGUUGAUGAAAACGAACAAGAAAACGUUCCAGAUUACAGUCGUGAAGCCAAUUCCUCAACAGAAAUUAGAGCCAUCAGAGAAGCCCGCUCAUUGAUGCCAGCACACAACGAGAAAUGUACCGAAGCCUAA
rnacentral:lncRNA from 1 species